GGGUGGAUAGGGAAGGACCAUCAGGUGGAGGUGGGGCUAGGCGUGUCUGAGCUCAGACUCUUUUUGGGUGGGUCCUGCUGAAGCUGUUGUUGGGGAUGGGGGUGACAUUCCCAGGUCACUGGAGUUAUGUACCAGGAGGAUUAAGGCUGCCUCUGCUGAGUCAUGCAGGUUGUCAGGGAAGUCGGAGAAAGCUGACAGUCACUGGCCUCACCCAGCUCCCACGCAAACUGAAGGGCUGGUCUCACUCUCACUAUGCCCCCGUAACAGAGUCAGUUUUUAGGCGGAGGGUGAGAAUGGCUUGAAAAUUUGCUGAAUGCUAUCCAUCUCCCAGCCCCCAGAGAAAAGGGCUUUAGUUCCUCCCCCUGCCUGUGAAGUCUGCAGGCCAGAUUCGCGCCCUCCCCUGAGUUCUGGCCAGGAGGCUUCUUGCCCUGUUCAAAUGGUUACAAAGUUCAGCUAGAGAAUUCCUUCUCCCUGUAGAGUUUUACCCCCUGCUCCUCUGGCCGCCCUCCGGAUGGAUCUUUGUGUUGCCAGGCAGGAAUGGGCUGCUUGGGGACCCAGUGAGCUCCGAGGGCCUUUCUGCUGCUUCCUGUACCCCUGUAUUUCGCUCAGCUCUCUGACUUGACUCAGCUCCAGGAGGAAUCUGCAUAGAUUAGACGAAAAAGUUAAAAGGAGUAUGAAUGAAAAAACUACGUGUACAAGAUGUCCAAGAUGAACAAAACUAUACAAUAAAGUUCAUUUCAAUAUACAACAUGUAUUAUAUUCAACAAGGCUCAAAUUUUUUGAUAAAAGGAAACAGAGACCUCUUUUUCUAGCAGGAAGAUAUUUUUCUUGGGAUGUUUUGUUUAUGCUGGCUUGAAUAACACUAUGAAAUAUUCUUUCAUUAAUAUUACAUGCUUAUGGAACUUUACCUAUUGAUUAAAGACAUCUACCCCUGGAGAAAGAGCCCAAUGAGAAGUAAUCUCUGAAGCCCAGAUUUCCUAAGGAUGAAGCUUCAGGAGAGGCCUUAUCAAUCCUGACAACAAACUUUUCUCGUCAAUUUAGUUUCAUUUAAUGGAAGUUUUAAAUGUGUAAAGUUCAGAAGGCUAUUAAAAUUGGUUCCAGCUAUCUAAGAUACACACACAACCACACACGCGCACACACGGUAGAGAUAAAUAUGUUCGAAAAUCCAGCUCAAUGUUACUAGAAAAUUUGAUCAGAAUCUGGUGAAAUAAAUAGUAAACUUACUAAAAAUGCCAAAUAUCCCAGAAGCUGCUUAACAUUUGAUCAAAAGCUCUGUCCAGUCAAUUCCUGCUUCUUUCAAAAAUACUCUGCUGAAAAGCCAAAGGAGAAAUGGGGCUGGUACCUUCAAUAUAGAGAAUUCCAAGUAAGAUUAGAUCCCAGAAGGCUUAGUGUGGCUUUCUAGGACUCUCACUAUUAGGCAGUAACCUACCAUUCACCUCUGUUUCCCAGAUUCACCUUGUUAUACCUUAUAACUUAAAAUAUAAAUUCCAACAAUGUACUGCACUCAAAAAAAUUAUUUCUCAAUUUGUUUGCUCAUACUAUUGAUUUUUUUCUAGAAUCUAAAUAAUUGUGAAUUAACUAUGAUAGCAGUAUGCACAAACAGUAAGUGAAAUCAGACCUAUUAAUUCUGAGAGGAAGGAGGUGUCAGGAUUUUCACAGAAGAAGAGCACUAAGGCCAGGCGCAGUGGCUCAUGCCUGUAAUCCCAGCACUUUGGGAGGCUGAGGCAGGCGGAUCAGGAGGUCAGGAGUUCUAGACCAGCCAGACAAACAUGGUGAAACCCCGUCUCUACUAAAAAUACAAAAAUUACACGCCUGUAAUCCCAGCUACUCAGGAGGCUGAGGCAGAAGAAUCGCUUAAACCCGGGAGGCGGAGGUUGCAGUGAGCUGAGAUCGCGCGACUGCACUCCAGCUUGGGCGACAGAGCAAGACUCCAUCAAAAAAAAAAAAAAAAA
rnacentral:lncRNA from 1 species